CCCCUCUAAGAGUCACACCUAGAGAGUUUCUAGUACUCUACCAGUCUCGACUGUGGAAGGGAGAGUCAAGCAGAGGCAUAUCCCUUCCAUUCCUAGCUUGGGGAAGUAACUAGUGAGUGGAAGACAAUCUGCUACAAGU